UUAGUGGCGGACGGGUGAGUAACGCGUGAGCAAUCUGCCUUUAAGAGGGGGAUAACAGUCGGAAACGGCUGCUAAUACCGCAUAAAGCAUCAAAUUCGCAUGUUUUUGAUGCCAAAGGAGCAAUCCGCUUUUAGAUGAGCUCGCGUCUGAUUAGCUAGUUGGCGGGGUAACGGCCCACCAAGGCGACGAUCAGUAGCCGGACUGAGAGGUUGAACGGCCACAUUGGGACUGAGACACGGCCCAAACUCCUACGGGAGGCAGCAGUGGGGAAUAUUGCACAAUGGGGGAAACCCUGAUGCAGCAACGCCGCGUGAGUGAAGAAGUAUUUCGGUAUGUAAAGCUCUAUCAGCAGGAAGGAAAAUGACGGUACCUGACUAAGAAGCCCCGGCUAACUACGUGCCAGCAGCCGCGGUAAUACGUAGGGGGCAAGCGUUAUCCGGAUUUACUGGGUGUAAAGGGAGCGUAGACGGUUUUGCAAGUCUGAAGUGAAAGCCCGGGGCUUAACCCCGGGACUGCUUUGGAAACUGUAGGACUAGAGUGCAGGAGAGGUAAGUGGAAUUCCUAGUGUAGCGGUGAAAUGCGUAGAUAUUAGGAGGAACACCAGUGGCGAAGGCGGCUUACUGGACUG
rnacentral:rRNA from 1 species